UCUGCAGAAAAAAGUCCAAAACCCUUAUCAAAGCUCUAAAAUUUCUGAGCUUGUUGAGAUUUCACAUUGGAUCUCAACAAGUUUGAGCUAAAAACCACUACACGGAACGGACCAAUGAUAACCAUACAUACAAGAAGAACACGAAGGAAGGAAAAAGAAUAGAGAAAUACCUGAAGCAGAUCAAACCUCCUUGUUGUCGUACUUGAUAUCGAGAAAGAUCCUACAAAGGGCAAUUCAAGGGGCACUUGAUUGAUGGUGCUGACACAUAUCAAGACCAUCUUGUGAAUCAGGGGCAUGGCAUCUUUUGAUCAUAUUGACCUAAGACGUAGUCUGUGUAAGACAAAUCUCCAAGCAUCGGUUGAUCAGGGAAAAAAACACUUCAAUACUCAGUCCGUCUGGGGCAAGUCCCUCAAAGGCUAAUCAGGGGCAGACCAUUGCAAGAUUCAGGAGUUGGGAAAAAUAAACUCAGGCCAUGUCAUGGGAUAAUCACUCCUAAGGUUACCUUUCAAGGAAAAUUCCUUUGAACACCCUACAGUCAGGGGCAAGACAAGUUGCAAGGGGCAAAAUUCCCUUCAUAUCUUCAAGUCAGUCAAGCAGAUUGCAUCAAGACAUUAGCGACUACUUGAAUUCACAACAAAAACGUCGAAAGUUCCUACCAGUACAACAUCAUACCUUGACAAGAAUCCUUAGAGCACGUCAAAAGCACAAUCAUCAUGCGUUAAUCACGUCGCUAUGCUCAGUUACAGGCUGGCCAGGCAUCUUAGAAGAAGAAUCGAGAUCUUCUCGAAGACAAAUACAUAAUAUAUCAGCAAGAGAUCAAACUUGGGGCACCAAGAGUAUCCGCAUCUAUUGCGUGUUCAUCACAUCAUCAGCUACCGAGUGUCGGGAAGUCAGAUCAUGUCACCAAUCAACAGUCCAAUCCACAUUGACAAUUACCAAAAAAACCAAAGCCCGCCUUGGUGGCACCUACACAAAACAAAAAUAACCAACAUUGGUUUCCAAAAAUACAUCACCUUUAAAAGGGGGGCCAAUCCCAAACAAACCAAUCAUUCUUUGCAUUUAAACAUGCAUCACAUACAUCACCUCAUACAUAACGCAUACAUAUCAUUCAUGUACAUAACACGAAUCAAAACCCAAGGUUUAGUCAUAGGCAUCCAGGCCAAUCCUCAAUUGAGUCAUUGUCACUUUCUCUGAGUGAGUUCCUACCCUAUUGGGCGUUCCCCAUUGAGUUAUAUCCUUUAAUCUUUGGUUAAUAAGAUGUCAUCCUCAGCUAAGUCAAGCAAUGUUUCUUUAAACACUUACCUUGUUUCACAUUGAGCGUCCCUCAAUGAGUCGUUUCCUGUAACCUUUUGUUGACAGACACUACAUCUCCCCAGAGAAUAUUGGCUUUGCAACCUUUUGUUGACAGAAACUACAUCUCCCCAGAGAAUAUUGGCUUUGCAACCUUUUGUUGUCAAUACCCCGAGCAAGUCUCAUCCAGCAAUGUUCCAAUGCUACCUAACAAAUCAGGUUUACUGAACUUUGUCGGUAGCUUUGUUUUUCCAAUAUUUUUCUCACUAUCAUCCUUUUGGUGGAAGCCCAAUGAGGAAUAAUAUUGAUCAUCACCCUGUUUACGAUCACCGUUAUCCUUUUGGUAAUGGUAAAUCCUUGAUAUUUGCGAUCUUACUGUCAUCCUUUUGGUGUCGAAGAUCCUUGAAGUUUUGGUCCAACCUUCAUCCUUUUGGUGAAUGGUGACCUCUACAAUUAUUACAGCCUACCGUCAUCCUUUUGGUGUCGGCGAUCCUUAUGGUGAUAAGCAAUCCUUGUCAUUUUGGUUCAACCAUCAUCCUUUUGGUGAUGACGUCCAGUUCAAUCCAAUAUCAUCCUUUUGGUGAUAGGGACUAUGGAGUUCAGUUUAAGCUAUCAUCCUUUUGGUGAUGGUGACAUUUGGAAAGUCCAUUCCCACUGUCAUCCUUUUGGUGUCAGCAAUAUUUGAAGUUAUUAUAACUUAUUAUCAUCCUUUUGGUGGUAACAUGUUUUGAAGUUAUGAUCUCACCUUUAUCCUUUUGGUGAUGGUGAUUGUGGAUUCAUUAUCAUCCUUUUGGUGAUAACGAUUUCUGUUGUGUUGUAGUGCCUUCAUCCUUUUGGUGAUGGUGACUAUCGACUUAUUAUCAUCCUUUUGGUGGUAACAAGUUGUGUCUUUUGACAAUACCUUCAUCCUUUUGGUGAUGGUGAUUGUUGACUUAUUAUCAUCAUUUUGGUGAUAACAAGUUUGUGUCUUGAUCCUACCUUCAUCCUUUUGGUGAUGGUGAUCAAUUGCGUGUGUGCUUCUUAUCAUCCUUUUGGUGGUAACAAGUUUUGUCGUUUGACAAUACCUUCAUCCUUUUGGUGAUGGUGAUUGUUGACUUCUUAUCAUCCUUUUGGUGAUAACAAGUUUGUGUCUUGAUCAUACCUUCAUCCUUUUGGUGAUGGUGAUCAAUUGCGUGUGUGCUUAUUAUCAUCCUUUUGGUGGUAACUAAGUUUUGUCGUUUGACAAUACCUUCAUCCUUUUGGUGAUGGUGAUUGUUGACUUCUUAUCAUCCUUUUGGUGAUAACAAGUUUGUGUCUUGAUCCUACCUUCAUCCUUUUGGUGAUGGUGAUCAAUUGCGUGUGUGCUUAUUAUCAUCCUUUUGGUGAUAACUAAGUUUUGUCGUUUGACAACACCUUCAUCCUUUUGGUGAUGGUGAUUGUUGACUUCUUAUCAUCCUUUUGGUGAUAACAAGUUUGUGUCUUGAUCCUACCUUCAUCCUUUUAGUGAUGGUGAUCAGUUGCGUGAGUGCUUAUUAUCAUCCUUUUGGUGGUAACUAAGUUUUGUCGUUUGACAGUACCUUCAUCCUUUUGGUGAUGGUGAUUAUCAUCCUUUUGGUGAUAACAAAUUUGUCUUGAUCUUACCUUCAUCCUUUUGGUGACGGUGAUCAAUUGCGUUGUGUGCUUAUUAUCAUCCUUUUGGUGGUAACAAGUUUUAUCUUUUAAUUAUACCUUCAUCCUUUUGGUGAUGGUGAUUAUCAUCCUUUUGGUGAUAACAAGUUUGUCUUGAUCUUACCUUCAUCCUUUUGGUGACGAUGAUCGAUUGUGUGUUGAUUUAUUAUCAUCCUUUUGGUGAUAACAAGUUUGUUGUGUGACUAUACCUUCAUCCUUUUGGUGAAUGGUGAUCAUUGAAGUUGUUUGACUUAUUAUCAUCCUUUUGGUGAUAACAAGUUUUGAUUGUUGGAUAUUACCUUCAUCCUUUUGGUGACGGUGAUCUUUGAAGUUGAUGAAUUAACUAUCAUCCUUUUGGUGAUAGUCUUGAUACUAUACUCUCAGUAAUGGGAAUCUUUGGAUUGUGUCUAGCUUUCAUCCUUUAGGUGAUAGCGAGAUUUGUUGUUAAUCUUACCAUCAUCCUUUUGGUGAUGGCGAUCUUUGUUGUAGCCACUGUAACCAUCAUCCUUUUGGUGAUGACUACCUUUGAAACUCAACUUAUCCAUCAUCCUUUUGGUGAUGACAAUCCUCAAAAUCAUGGUGAAUCUCUGUCAUCCUUUUGGUGUCAGAAAACCGAUCCCAAUUUUGUCUUUACAUCAGAAACGACCUUUACAAGGUUUGAAUGUUGACUCGAGGGUUGACAUUGAUCGGACAUCCUACCCCAAUACCUUGGUGCCGUUAGAAUCCAUUGCAUUUCAUUUCAAAGGACAAAUUUGGGUCUUUUUAUAUUUAAUUACCUUCCACCACGAAUGUACGAAGACUGUCGUCAUUCUUACCCUCUGGUUCAAGUUAAUUAAAUAGGGGCAACUGUCAUACCCCAAUUUUGUCCGGGCAUAUUUAAAUUUCGAUAAAAAAAUCAAUUUCAUUUUUUUUACAUCAUAUGCAUAGCAUAACAUGCAUUCCAUCAUAAAUAAUGCAUAAAAACAUGCAUUUCAAUAAAAUCAAUUUCGUCUAGGAGUAUGGUUUAUUGCACAAAUACAAGGAAAAGGGAUAUCUUCUUGAGGUGGAAUGCUAGUAUGGAUCAAGGUCAGGUUUGAGUUUCGUCUUGCCAACACCAUAAUGCUAAAUCCUUAAGCAAAGUCAUGAACAUGGUUUAUUACAGACAGCAAUCGCUGACAUGCCAAAGUAGUCCAUAACCUUUAAUGAGAUCACGGUUGGUUUGAGAACAUUGCUUAUUUUGUUUUUUGCACCUUACUGAACCAAGUUGGCAAGAGUUGACAAGAUAUUAAAUGAAUGACUUAAAUUCACGAUUUUUGUUCUUCAUUUGUAAUCAUCAUUUAGGCCACAGAUUAAGAGGUCUUUAGGAUAAAGACCAAGUGUUCAGACGUGUGUCAAAUGGCCAAGAAUCCCAAAAUACAAUAUGGCAUGGUUUAAAAAUAUCAAUGUAGAAUUACAUUAGCUGAACAAAUUUUGGAUUUUUACAAACAUAAUUGUUUCAAUUGCCAUUAAUGGAAAUACAUCAUUGUUUUCGAUUACAAGCAAUCCUAGGUUCUGAAUAAUAUUACAGCCAAGCCAAAUGGAAGAAAUAAUUUUCUAAAAAAAUCAAGAAUACACAUCAUCCUGUCAUGACAGUCGCCCAUGCCCUUCCCUGCAUUAUGCUUCCAUAAACCGUUUAGGAACCGCAGGGGUAUCCUCCAGCACCAUACUCUGACCGGCAAAUGAAUACAUGGUUUGUUUCUGUUGUCGCCACUUGCUAUAAGUAUAGUACCUGCUGCAAGCCAAAUCCAAACGUGUAUAACAUAAACCCAAAACUGCAACCUGCAAAGACCGCAGAAGCUCCACAUUAAUACAAACAGCAAGCGAAGGCAUAAGUUUACAAUUUGUAUUCUUAAACUUCACGGUUCACAGAAGUCCUAGCCUAUGAUCUGAAGACAUGUUGGCAAUACAAGAGAAUAUUAUUCAAGCAGUGAAAUAGCAUGGCAGCUGAGCAAUACAAAGCACUCUCUUCAUCAAGUAAUUCCAAGAAUUCGCGAGACACGUCCUGAUAAGCAUACCGCAAACUGCAAUCCAGAUGCCGAUUACAUAAUAUACCAGCUAGAGUGAGUAAGGUUAGCCGAAGCCAAAAGGCCAGUAUUAUCGUGGGAUUUCAUGUUGUUGCAAGAGGGGAAACAAUACCAGGCAGUGUUCUGAACUUAAGACCAUAACCAGGUUGCGCAAAACCGUGGAACAUAACUUAGCAUGCCACCAUUUCCAGUCAUUCAUCACGAGAAAAUUACAUUAAUCAUGAGGACGGUAUAUUCGGCAAAACAGUGAAUUCUACAUUACAGUCUGGAAAUGCAUAACGUGAAUUAAAGACAUGAAUAUGCCACUUAAACCAGGGCCUAUUCCUUUACAAACUUGCUGCAGAUUCAGUACACAAACCAAGACAAAAGGCACAUAAUAAAACCUGUUACUACAGUUUCUGCAGAAUUGACUAGGAGGUCUCAACAAGGACUGAGAUUGUUGGCUAGCCGUCAAUGACAAGGACCGAGCUUGUGAAUCAACUGCAGGUGUACAUAGAAGAAAGCCAAUAAAAACUGCCAAUGCACAUAGUUCGUCAUGAUUAAAAUGGUGUAAGGAAAUGCUAUCACGGGACUGUGAUGAGAGUUAACCAUACCAUUUGUGUGUAAACCAGGAUUAGCUAUCAGGGAGCUAGACGUGUCAGUAGGCCCGCUGCAGCCUGCAUACCAUAAAUGAGCCAAGGAACAUACAGGACACAAGUUUUGCAAUACCUGAAUGGUAAAACAACAGUUUGAUCAGAAGUAAAAUCAUGAAUAAGUAAGAGCAAGGUUAUAAUAAUAAGCAUAUUGUACAGGAUUCCAUGCAGGAUAAAUAGAUCAAAAUCAUUAUUUAUACCAAGCUCAAAUGUCAAUGGCACAUUGAAGCAGGUCGCAAGAAAUCGUAAGCAGAAGUUGGUCCUUAAUUCCCAAGCGUCAAAUUCUGAACUUACAAGAAAAGAAUAAAUUAUGAUCCAGGUGUGCAGAGAGUGAAAAAAAGAAAAUCAGAAGGGCCAUAGUUGAUCCAUCUUACUCUGUUUAAAGGAAACCGGUUCACUGGUAGCAAAACAAGCGGUAAUCAAGUAAAGACAUCGUUGUCGUGCGAACAGGAAUAACCAAAGGCAAGGAACAAUUCCAUAAACCUGCCAAGACAGAGUUACAGGUCAGAAGGCAAACCACCAUCAAAAUUCAUAGUGAAUGAAGGUAUGAGAAAUAAUCAAAAACCUGGGCUGAACCUUGACAGAAGCCUUGCCGAACCAACAAAUCCACAACAGACCGGCAUGGACUGCGUAACAGCUUAAAUGCGAGUGCAAUAGCAUCACGUUACCUGCAUAAACCAAGAGAAGCUUAAAUUUCUGGAAGUUAUGAGGAAACGCCCUGUCAUAUCAGUUGAAAAAAAGGCCACGUUGGCAAAACAAGGAAUAGUUAAGUGUUUUGAGGAUGAAAUUACAUAACAGUAAAAAUCAAAUUUUCUUACCACAGGAAGCAUGUAUUUUACUGCAUCGAAGAGAUUUCACUACCAACAAACUCUUCCGCUAAUGCUUAUCACUUUGGGACCACUUCUGUUUGGAGGGACCACGCAUCAUAGAGGGAUUCCACUACCAACAAACUCGCCUUACCACAAUCAUUUUUGUCCCCCACUAAGUCUGAGAUAUUCUAAUAGAAUGAUUCUUGGGAUCCUCCGCCAGCUCACAAUGAAUACAUUAUUGGGGACCUUGGAUUUCCUCUAUAAAUAAGGAGUCUCUAAUCAUUGAAAGGGGAAAAAAAAUUUGCACCGGUACUCUGCAGAAAAAAGUCCAAAACCCUUAUCAAAGCUCUAAAAUUUCUGAGCUUGUUGAGAUUUCACAUUGGAUCUCAACAAGUUUGAGCUAAAAACCACUACACGGAACGGACCAAUGAUAACCAUACAUACAAGAAGAACACGAAGGAAGGAAAAAGAAUAGAGAAAUACCUGAAGCAGAUCAAACCUCCUUGUUGUCGGUAACGAGCAGUGAUUGAGUAGAAGCUAGUGCUUGGAGUCUAGUGUAGUUCCUUAGUGGGUCAUGCUCUUGUAUAUGUAAUAUCGGGACGGGAUGUUUACCUUGUUUUCACUUGGUUGUUGAAUAAUUUUACAUGUAAUGUGUUACAUGGUUUGCAUGUUGUUAGAUUUUAUCCGCUGCGAACUGUGCAAUGUUUUACUUUGAUUAAUAAAUGAGCAUGACAAGCUAUUUUGGUGAA